rnacentral:piRNA from 1 species
GGGGGUGUAGCUCAAUGGUAGAG